AUCAUUAAGAGAUAAUUAUUACAUUCAUAUUUUUGCUUGACUGUGCUGCUUAAUUUUUCUACAAUAAUUUUAUCUCAAGAGUCAGAAAAACAUGGUCUUAGCAUCCACUUUGUGGCUAUGCAACUUGUGCUCUUUCACUAGGCCUCGUGCUCAGAAAAGCCCCACAUUCGGCACUUUUGUCAUCUUAAACCUCCUAGUAGUGUUAUCCUUGAAUUUGCGCUUUGUAAGUCUGAUGGGACAAGGAGCAUGCGCGUGAGGGAGACACGCACACAGUGUGUGCAGUGCUCUUCCACACGUGUUUACUGUCCCCUGUGUGUUCCCUGUUCCCCAUGACAUCAGAAUCCUGCGGUACCCACCAUGCGUGGCAGGUCAGUGAGACUUAAAGCAAAUCCAAGGGAAGCGUGUCACUUUUGUGACCGAGCCGCACUGGGGACACUGUCAGCUCUGGGCGGCCAGGAUUUCUGCCAGAACCAGAACUCGCUUUGAAUGCUGAACAAAGGCAAAGGCAGAAAGAAACACGGAUGACCCAGGAGCCCCUUCUGAUGUGCGUUGCUUCCGUGUAUCAGUCAACCGUUUACACGGAAAAGGAUGGCCUGGAAGGAAAGGGGAAGAUGGGGUGAAACGUCCAGUCCCUUCUCCUCUCAGUCCUUCCUUCCUUCCUUGCCAGGAAGGGGAAGGCGGAGUGUUGGUCGAUGGGCCCCAAGAAGUGAAAGACACUCGCCCUCAGUAUCAAGAAGAACUGGUUCCAGGACCUGCUGUGGGUCCCAAAUCCAUCUGCUGACAGUCAAUCUCACCAUCAGCCCAUCUCUCCUUGGUUCUACAUCCAUGGAUUCAGCCAAUCGGGGAUCAUGCAGAACUGGCACCGUCUAGAAGUCGUUUUUGAUUAGAAGUUGACCUCAGAAGUAUGCGCGCAUCAUUUUGAAAACAUCUGCCGGCACCACAGAAACCGACUCCGAAUGAGAAAGGACAGCGUGGACCACGUCCAGGACCAGCGCCUUCCCACACGGCGCUCGGGGGUAUCGCUGGCCUGGACCAAGGCUGGGAUGUUGUCCCCGGCAUGCGCCCGGAUCCCCGUAGUGACCUGGGGCCAGCUGGGGGUGAUGAGAGUGUCCCCAUCGAGGUCGUCAUCGCCCAGGACACUGGCUAAUGUUAUCGAGUCCUUAUUAUGGUCCAUGCGGAUCACAGGGAGUCAUCCAUCCUCGGCGCUUCCCGUCGGGCGGGAGUCUACAGGCUGAGUGGCAUUGUCAGGUACCGCUCAGAAGCUGGGAGGUUGGGGUCUAAGAUCAAUGCCCUUGACCCACCUGGGCGGGACAAUCUAGUGGGUGGAGUCAGAGGUCUCCUUAGGAACUGGAAGCCGCCAGGCAAAGCCUGCUCAGCCCCGAGGCUGUGAACCUGGUACCCGGUGAGGUGGG
rnacentral:lncRNA from 9 species